rnacentral:rRNA from 1 species
GACGAACGCUGGCGGCACGCUUAACACAUGCAAGUCGAACGAAGUGGCGAACGGGUGAGUAACGCGUAAUCAACCUGCCCUUCAGAGGGGGACACUAGUGGAAAACGACUGCUAUUACCGCACACGGAUGGGGGGGAGGGCGUCGGAUUAGCUCGUUGGGGGGGUAACGGCCCACCAAGGCGAUGAGCAGUAGCCGGUUUGAGAGGGUGAACGGGCACAUUGGGACUGAGACACGGCCCAGACUCCGACGGGAGGCAGCAGUUGGGAAUUUUUCGCAAUGGAGGAAAGUCUGAAGGAGCAACGCCGCGUGAGUUAUGAAGGCCUUCGGGUUGUAAAGCUAUGUUAAUCGGGACGCGGUACCGGAAUAGAAAGCAACGGCUAACUACGUGCCAGCAGCCGCGGUAAUUC